UUUAAUUUCAGCUCAUGAAACAUGGGACCAACACUUUACAUUUUGCAUUUAGAUUUUUUUCAGUAUAGAUAACCACCAACUGUAGUUACGUGUACAAUGCACAUUACCCUCCUUACAAGUUAAAAAAAACUAGCAUAUAAUAGCAUAAUGAAUGUUGUGACAUCUUUAUUGAAAAAUGUUUCUUUAUAAACAUCGCAUGCCACAGAUUUAGGACCUGAAUGUAGAAAUCUUGGUCUGCUGGCCAGUGCCCAAAAUCCUUAUGUUAUAUCCCUGCAUGUCAGUACCUUUCAGACAAUCCCCCUAUCACUGUUGGUCCUCUUCAGUGACCUUAUGGCUGAAGGUUUUAACUUUCCUCUUGAGAAUUAGAAUCAGAAGUGGUUGUAUAGCUCAUUGCAAUACUUCACCUCUUCUGGCAAAUAGUAACCUAGACUGCCCUGAUCAUCUAGUUGAGCAUUCCAGAUAAUUCCUCCAUCCCAGCAGAAAUGUCCCAUCCACAUAGUAGGAUUUUAGAUGUGAAGAUAGACCAAAGCCCAGUCUAUUUUACUGUUACUAUAGUCAAGUCUGUGGGUUAUGGUAUUUUAAUGUAGCUGUUAUCAUUUCACUAAUCAAUUUAGCUAGCUGGUAAAAGUAACAUUUGUUGUCUUUCAGGUGGAUGGACCGGAAACCCAGUGACAACACUUGGGUCUGCAGCUGCCAUUUUCCGGUGGGAAAGAGAAAAGGCCCUGUAUUUACCAGAAAAGGUAGAUCAUCCACCAUGGCAGAAGAGGAAGAUCCAGACUGUUGAUUGGGAAACAAGAACAAACAAUGAGGCAUGAGGAUUGGGUGUUGAUCCAACAGGAGUGCAUCCCUCAGUCCAUCCAGUGCGUGGACAUCCCGUGCCAGUGUGAUCUGGUUGUGGAGACUACGUCAGAACAAGCCUGUAGACAGACAGACAUGAUAUGCGGAACAUCAGGCUCACCCCACGAGAAGCAGUGCAUGAUUAACGCCACCCUCAGCAAGGAGAUCUGCUGGAAGUGAUGUACUCUCUCACUCUGGGGGUAAGCACCAUGGUCUUGUAGUGGAUGGGAGCUUCGAUUGGAAGCCCCAGUGGAGUGUG